rnacentral:rRNA from 1 species
AACGAACGCUGGCGGCAGGCUUAACACAUGCAAGUCGAGCGCCCCGCAAGGGGAGCGGCAGACGGGUGAGUAACGCGUGGGAAUCUACCCAUCUCUACGGAAUAACGCAUGGAAACGUGAGCUAAUACCGUAUACGUACUUCUGGAGAAAGAUUUAUCGGAGAUGGAUGAGCCCGCGUUGUAUUAGCUAGUUAGUUGGAUAAAGGCCUACCAAGGCGACGAUCCAUAGCUGGUCUGAGAGGAUGAUCAGCCACACUGGGACUGAGACACGGCCCAGACUCCUACGGGAGGCAGCAGGGGGGAAUAUUGGACAAUGGGCGCAAGCCUGAUCCAGCCAUGCCGCGUGAGUGAUGAAGGCCCUAGGGUUGUAUAGCUCUUUCACCGGUGAAGAUAAUGGCGGUAACCGGAGAAGAAGCCCCGGCUAACUUCGUGCCAGCAGCCGCAGUAACAC